UGCAUUCAUAACAUUUGUUUCUCAUCAUUUAAGAUGUUAACUCCUGUUAAAAGGAAAAUGUCUGAAGCAUCAAUGGUUAUUCCUGGUACAGAUAAACUGACUAUGAAGACCUUAUUAGCCAACACAUCAACACCUCGAACCGGAAGAAUUAAGCCACCUUUGAAAAUGGUGAACUCUGCUGAACCACCCAGUAUUUACGAAGUAAAAGAAAAGGGAAUGAAAAAUACCACAUCUUUUCCUGGCUCAGUUGAAGGAAGGAAUCCACACGGCUACCAAAGUGAUUUUCCUAAAUCGCAGCCAAUUACAGCAUCUAAGGACUCAGAAAUGGAAGAAAAUGAUGAUAACAG
rnacentral:lncRNA from 1 species